rnacentral:rRNA from 1 species
CCUACGGGCGGCAGCAGUGAGGAAUAUUGGUCAAUGGGCGGAAGCCUGAACCAGCCAAGUCGCGUGCAGGAUGACGGUCCUACGGAUUGUAAACCUCUUUUAUCCGGGAACAACGCGCCUUACGCGUAGCGCUUUGAGUGUACCGGAAGAAAAAGCAUCGGCUAACUCCGUGCCAGCAGCCGCGGUAAUACGGAAGGUGCGGGCGUUAUCCGGAUUUAAUGGGUUUAAAGGGUGCGCAGGGCGGAUGUCAAGUCAGCUGUGAAAUGUCGGGGCUCAACCCCGGCCGGGCAGUGGAAACUGGUGUUCUGGAGUGCGCGGGAAGCAUGCGGAAUGCGUGGUGUAGCGGUGAAAUGCAUAGAUAUGACGAAGAACCCCGAUUGCGAAGGCAGCAUGCCGGAGCGAAACUGACGCUGAUGCACGAAAGCGUGGGUAUCGAACAGGAUUAGAUACCCCAGUAGUC